ensembl:lncRNA
AAUUAUUCUAACAUUGCAGCGUUGGUUUUCUGGAAGGUCCCUGUUUGUCCCUUUCAAGUUAUUUCAGCUCUAUUCUAAGAACCAGGAAUACAAAGGAUGAAUAUUCAGUUUGGUGUCGCUUAUUCCUCUGAUCAUGUCAUUUCCCAACAGAGAAGUGCAAAUUUCCUUUCUCUAACAGCAACAUUUACUGCUGCAUAUUGGGAAGAAAAAAAUGUCAUUUCACCAGAUGCUCAGUUUUGAUAGGCCUGCACAGAAACCAGCCCGGACAGCAGACCAAGGAGCAGCAACAAAGGUCAUGAGAGCACUUUUUCUUCAAGCAAUGUGAAAAUGAUGGGGAUGUUAGAACAGUUUAUUAAAGAAACCAAACACAAUUCUGUGUCCUUGGUAGGUUUUUUUUUUCUGGCUGAUUGCAUUCUGGCAGGCUCAGAGAGAACACAGUGAUUAUGUACUAAAAGAGGUGCAUCUUCUUAUGCUUCAAGCAUGCUCUUCUCUCUGCCAUUAAUUGACCCCAUCACUCAGGUGUCCUCCAGCCCAUAUCACCCUUGCCCAAAGGCUGUCAGGCUGUGGUUGUAUCAGGAGGUCUUUCAACUUUGAGUCAUUUGCCUGUUUGGGAACCCAGCUGAGGUUAACCUCAGUUAAUUACCAGAUUGCUCUCAGGUGUGUUCUGUUGGGGGAUCUCAAACCAAUGCCCAGAGGACAAUGGAGCACCAUGCAGAUCCAUGUGAGCUGGAGCUGAGGGAGCUGCCUGGGAUUAAGUUCAUCACAGAGAACCAACUUGAAACAGUUUAUAAGUUGCGUGAACCCAUGGGAAGUGGUGAAGACAUGCAGCCCAAGGAGACACACUGCACUGUAUGGGGGAAUGUGUGUGAUACCCUUACCACAACAGAACCUGCGAUGAGUUACGAUGUGAAACAACCCUGCUCAGAACAAGAGAAACCACUGCUGCCUCCAGAGCUCUGCUGCUCCAAGGCCUCUCCAUCUGAUGACUGCUGCCAGAGAGCUGCAAACACUCUGAGCUGAGCUGAGCCUUCCUGGGUUUUGAUCCUCUGAGUGCCUGUGUAAACGUGGACCAGCUGCUUCCACCUUCCGUGCUUCCUGGAGUGGUUCCCAAACAAAAGCACGCUUGCUAUAAAUUUCCAGUGCCACUUUGGCAGCGCGUGUAUUGACUUUUCCAUUUUCCUUUUCUGGAUUUUGUUUCCUCUCACCUUUUAAGUUUCUUCCAUUUUCCCCAAGGGAGUACUUAUGUUCUCAGAUUAAAAACAGAAGUUUGUUCAGGUUGAUUGUUAGUAUGCUGUCAAACGGUAUUUUCCAUAUAAAAAUAUUUAUUUUACUUCAAACCACAUCUUUCUGAUGGAAGAAGGGUUUAAAAGAGUCGGCGUCUGGGAGCUUCUGUGCAUUAAUGUUUCAGUGGUUCUGUGAUUUCAUGGAGCAAAAUAAGAGUGCAGAGGGUAGCCCAUUUCUUUUGCUGCUGGCUUUUUCCCUUCUGAAGGUAGUGAAGCUCAGAUGUGAGAUGCAAGUGGACUCCAUGCUGCAGUCUCCCAGAGAACUGGAUAAUUCAAUGUACAUGAACAAUUAUCACCCAAAAAGGUUGACCUCAGUGAUCACCCCAGGUCCCUUCCAUCCCCUAUGACUCUGUGAUGCUGCUCCUUGGACACAAUGGCUGGUCUCUGGCUAUGGUGUAAACCCAGCAAAGCAGGAACAGCCCCACAGUAGCUGACCUUCCAGGUGGUGUUAUUGCAGUCGUGUGUUACGUAAUUGGAGGAGAAAGUGGUUUUAAUUGGGCUGCACACAGAUCUCCAGUGAAAUAGAUUUUUAACUUUUGAAAAUCAAUAGGUAGACUCAAUAUGCUGUAAAGAUUAGGGCUGUUACUGAUUAAAUAUCGCUCCUUCCUUCCCCGAGGGCAUAAAGUUUACCUCUUUAACUGCUUGAGCUCUUAAGAGAGGCUUCCAGAGAAGGGGAAGAAAUGUUAAUUUUCUCAGUAUUUAAAAGGAGUAAUCCUAUCAUACCUCUUUCUGUUCCCAGCCCCCCUGUGUAUAUUCCAAUUAAAAGCUCAACCUUCCGGAUUUUUCCAGAUCCACGUAGGUCUUUGAGAAUAACAUUAGCUGGUACUUUUUAAUGCGUUCUGAGUGCUUGGAGUGAUGUUUCCAAGCAGCUGAAGGCAUGGCUGUGGUUGGCAAGGCGGUGUGAAAAGUCCUUCAUCUCAAAGCACUGCUUUUCAUACAUGAGCACGAAUAUUUCCUCUUCUGCCUUGACAGCAUCCAUUUUGCAGAAAACAAUAAUGAGAGAGAAAACGGGAGGUUUUAUCCCAGGGCCAUGUCACCAAAGGCCAGGCUAGAGCCUGAAGCUUCGUAAUAAAGACAUCUGCCUGUCUUUAACUUGUUGUUCC